AAUGAACGCUGGCGGCAGGCCUAACACAUGCAAGUCGAACGAGGCGGGCGCGGGUGAGUAAUGUCUGGAAAAUUGCCCGAAGGAGGGGGCUAAUUCUUGGAAACGGAAGUUAAUACCGACUACCAUCGGCUGACCCCUGAUUGGAAUAGCUAGUAGGUGGGGUAACGGCUCACCUAGGCUACGAUCCCUAGCUGGUCUGAGAGGAUGAACAGCCACACUGGAACGGAGACACGGUCCAGACUCCUACGGGAGGCAGCAGUGUGGAAUAUUGCACAAUGGGCGAAAGCCUGAUGCAGCAAUGCCGCGUGUAUGAAGAAGGCCUUCGGAUUGUAAAGUACUGUCAGCGGGGAGGCGGUACCCGCAGAAAAAGCACCGGCUAACUCCGUGCCAGCAGCCGCGGUAAUAC
rnacentral:rRNA from 1 species